UACGGAGGGGGCUAGCGUUGUUCGGAAUUACUGGGCGUAAAGCGCACGUAGGCGGCUUUGUAAGUUAGAGGUGAAAGCCCAGGGCUUAACCCUGGAAUUGCCUUUAAGACUGCAUCGCUAGAAUCGUGGAGAGGUGAGUGGAAUUCCGAGUGUAGAGGUGAAAUUCGUAGAUAUUCGGAAGAACACCAGUGGCGAAGGCGACUCACUGGACACGUAUUGACGCUGAGGUGCGAAAACGUGGGGAGCAAACAGG
rnacentral:rRNA from 1 species